rnacentral:rRNA from 1 species
GACGAACGCUGGCGGCGUGCUUAACACAUGCAAGUCGAACGGAAAGGCCCUGCGUUUGUUGGUUUCUCGUUUGGCGAACGCGUGAGUAACACAUGAGUAACCUGCCCUUAACUUUGGGAUAACUUCAGGAAACUGGGGCGAAUACCCGGUAUGAUCUCCUGCUGCGUGUUGGUGAUUGGAAAAUUUCGGCUUUUGGGUAUCGACUCGCGGCUUAUCAGCUUGUUUGUGGGGUAGUUGCUUACCAAGGCUUUGACGGGUAGCCUGCCUUAGAGGGUGACCGGGGACAUUGGGCCUGAGAUACGGACCAGACUCCUACCGGAGGCAGUAGGGGGGAAUCUUGCAGAAUGGGGGGAAGUGUGAUGUAGAAACGUCGGGUGCGGGAAGAUCGCUUUUGGGUGGUAAACAGAUUUCGACGGAGAUGAAGAGGGAGUGACGGUAACGGGUAAAGAAGCCACGGCUAACUACGUG